UAUGGCCACAUCACAUAGCAACACUGGUUCCUGUAUAAUCACUAAAAUUAAGCAACAUUGAGCCUGGUCAGUAUCUAGAUGGGCGACCACUUGGGAAUACCAGGUGCUGUAA